rnacentral:misc_RNA from 1 species
ACUUCCUGCAUCAGGACGGCAACCGCAUCGAACUGCCGCAGGCGUUCUUCAUGCGCGUGGCGAUGGGCCUUGCGAUCCGCGAGAUCGACCGCGAGACGCGCGCCAUCGAGUUCUACAACCUGCUGUCGUCGUUCGACUUCAUGGCCUCGACGCCGACGCUGUUCAACUCCGGUACGCUGCGGCCGCAGCUCUCGUCCUGCUUCCUGACCACGGUGGCCGA